GAUGAACGCUGGCGGCGUGCCUAAUACAUGCAAGUCGAGCGAACAGAUGAGGAGUUUGCGCCGCUGACGUUAGCGGCGGACGGGAGAGUAACACGUGGAUAACCUACCUAUAAGACGGGGAUAAUUUCGGGAAACGGGAUCUAAUACGGUAGGAUAUAUUGAACCGCGGGGGGCAAUGGUGAGAUACGGUGGUUGGGGCACGUAUAGACGGAUCCGCGCCGCAUUAGCUAGUUGGUAAGGUAACGGCUUACCAAGGCUACGAUGCGUAGCCGAGCUGAGAGGGUGAUCGGCCACAUGGGAACUGAGACACGCUCCAGACUCCUGCGGGAGGCAGCAGUAGGGAAUCUUCCGCAAUGGGCGAGAGCCUGACGGAGCGACGCCGCGUGAGUGAUGACGGUCUUCGGAUCGUAAAACUCUGUUACUAGGGAGAAACAAAUGUCUAAGUAACUAUGCCGGUCUUGACGGUACCUAAUCAAAAAGCCACGGCUAACUACGUG
rnacentral:rRNA from 1 species